CUUUUAAAGGAUCCAAGUCUAAUCCGUUGGUCUUAGGAGCCAAAAUCCUUGGUGC
rnacentral:tRNA from 1 species